rnacentral:rRNA from 1 species
UACGGAGGGUGCAAGCGUUAUCCGGAUUCACUUGGCUUAAAGGGUGCGUAGGUGGGCAGGUAAGUCAGUGGUGAAAUCUUUGGGCUUAACCCGAAAACUGCCAUUGAUACUAUUUGUCUUGAAUAUUGUGGAGGUCAGCGGAAUAUGUCAUGUAGCGGUGAAAUGCUUAGAUAUGACAUAGAACACCAAUUGCGAAGGCAGCUGGCUGCACAUAUAUUGACACUGAUGCACGAAAGCGUGGGGAUCAAACAGG